rnacentral:rRNA from 1 species
CACGUAGGGCGCAAGCGUUGUCCGGAAUUAUUGGGCGUAAAGAGCUCGUAGGUGGUUUGUUACGUCUGCUGUGAAAACCUAGGGCUUAACCCUGGGCUUGCAGUGGAUACGGGCAGACUAGAGGUAGGUAGGGGAGAAUGGAAUUCCUGGUGUAGCGGUGGAAUGCGCAGAUAUCAGGAGGAACACCGGUGGCGAAGGCGGGUCUCUGGGCAGUAACUGACGCUGAGAAGCGAAAGCGUGGGGAGCGAACAGG